CAGUGAGGGACUCCCUCCCCUUUUUCCAUGCCAACCUGGGAUCCAACUCUUUGGUGCGCAGGAAGUUGAGGAUGGGGGCGAAGACUGUAGGGUCCCUGUCGAUGAAGAUCUGCGGGAAAGGGGGACAGAGGAUGGAUAGGCGUCGAGAUGCGUCCGCUCAGAAGACUGCAGGGAAGGGACACCGAGCAGGCGUCACGGGCCGGGGGAGUGGAUAUUAGGUCUCCCACGCCCUCUCCAUCCCUCCUACCCUCGCCCCAAACUCGCUCUCCCGAUCACCUGGAGAAGAAGGAGUCUGGGAUCCAGGUUCUCGUCAAGGGGCGUGUGUUUAGACCCCGAAAUUAAGUCCACAUAAAAGGGUACAUCUGGAUGUUCUCCGCAGCCACGGGUUGCCCUCAUCUGUGGAUGAAGUAGUGGGUAGUGUCUGGCCCCAGCGGGCGAUCUCUGCGUGUUCCGCCACCGAGGAAGCCACAGCCUCCAGCCAGCCGUUCAUCUCCUCCUGGGGGAAGAAACAGGGCACAGAGGCCGUAUUUGGAAGAGAGAAGCUGGAAUAAUAGGCGAAUUUCAGAUCAGACUACCCUCUCUGAAAUUCAGUUUUCUCAUCUAUUAAAAAGGGAUGAUGAUGAUGA